rnacentral:tmRNA from 1 species
AUUCUGGAUUCGACAGGAUUCACGAAACCCUGGGAGCAUGCCGAGGGGCGGUUGGCCUCGUAAAAAGCCGCAAAGUUAUAGUUGCAAACGACGAUAACUACGC